UACAGAGGUCCCAAGCGUUGUUCGGAUUCACUGGGCGUAAAGGGUGCGUAGGCGGUCGGGUAAGUCUGAUGUGAAAUCUCACAGCUUAACUGUGAAACUGCAUUGGAUACUAUUCGGCUUGAGAGUUGGAGGGGGGACUGGAAUUCUUGGUGUAGCAGUGAAAUGCGUAGAUAUCGGGAGGAACACCGGUGGCGAAGGCGGUUCUCUGGGCCUGUACUGACGCUGAGGAGCGAAAGCGUGGGGAGCGAACAGG
rnacentral:rRNA from 1 species